UACAUGUGAUGUAUUUUUCACGAUGGUCUUCUGAUGAAAAAUGAAGACAAGUGCCAAGUGGCUUUUCUGAUGUAGAAAU